AUGCCCAAAUCAAUGGAGGAUGGAUACAAGAUGAUAACAAACCAGUUCAGGCGGUUUACAUACAGAGAACUGAGGGAAGCAACUGGAAAGUUCAAAGAAGAGAUUGGGAGAGGGGGUGCUGGAAUUGUUUACAGAGGAGUACUUGAAGAUAAGAAAAUAGUUGCAGUAAAGAAACUUACAAAUGUCCAACAGGGAGAAGAGGAAUUCUGGGCAGAAGUGACUCUAAUUGGAAGGAUUAAUCACAUAAAUUUGGUCAGGAUGAUGGGAUUCUGCUCAGAAGGGAAAAACAGAUUAUUAGUAUACGAGUAUGUGGAGAAUGAGUCACUGGACAAGUACCUCUUUGGUGAGAGAAGUACUGAAAGUCUGCUCGGCUGGAACCAAAGGUACAAGAUCGCUGUGGGUGCAGCAAGGGGUCUUGCUUAUCUACAUCAUGAAUGCCUCGAGUGGAUCGUCCAUUGUGACGUGAAGCCAGAAAAUAUACUCCUGACUCGAGAUUUCGAUGCCAAAAUAGCAGACUUUGGACUAGCCAAGCUUGCGAAGCGAGACAGUGCUAGCUUCAAUUUCACCCAUAUGAGAGGCACAAUGGGCUACAUGGCACCAGAAUGGGCAUUGAAUACGCCGAUCAAUGCGAAGGUCGAUGUUUACAGCUACGGAGUUGUGCUUCUGGAGAUUGUGACUGGAGAUUGUGACUGGAGAUAG
rnacentral:rRNA from 1 species